AAACUAUAAGGAAAAUACACAAAAGUAAUAAUUUCUAAGUCAAGUAUCACAGUCUUAAAGGGAGCUUGUAAGAAUCAGUAUAUAAUCACCAUGUAAUCAAUCAGAGAAACCUUAAGCAAAGAACACAGAAAGGUAAGGGAAUGAAACACUAGCGACAAAAUUAAAGCAAAGAGCACAGAACUCAGAGAAGAAUCCACAAGAACACACAAACAAGCAAACACGACAAUAUUACAAAUAUAAACCCAAACGCUAGGGUUUCAUCAAACUUAUGCAAAAUGUUUAGAAAUAGUACUGAGAAUCAGGACUUAGUACUCAAAAUCGGAGAUAAUGUAUUUUCAAAAGCAGAUUAGGAACCCUAGUUUCAAAAAGGAACAAACCAUUUGAAACUUGAAUAAUCGUAAAGAUCGAGUAGAGAAUAAUGCCAAACAUAAAGGUAUGAGUUGAAAAUCGUUAAAAAAUACAGAGAUUUAAGAGGUUUGGUUCGAGAUUAGGGUUUCACAAGAAGGAUAGAGAGAAGUGAGAGAAACUUGACUGUGAAACUUAGGAACAAUGGUGUUUACAACACCAUCGAAUAAAAACCCAUUAGAGAAAGGCCAUCAAAAACCAGGCAAACCUUCAGUGACGGUCUUGCAUGGUGAAGACCUAUGGAGUAUCAGGAAUGAAAAGAACCAGAUGAGUUCAGGCUUCAAGGUUGCUGGUGGUUGAAAGAGGCAAGGCUCGAGGUGGCUGUAGAGAUGGUAAACGGGAUCUGAGAAGAAGAAUCAGAAGGUUCAAGAGAGAAGGAGGAGAGGAAGAGACAGAUAGAGAGAGCGAUAAAAA
rnacentral:lncRNA from 1 species